GAUCCAUCCUGCAAUACUCGCUUGAGUACCUGUUGAUAGGUAGUAAUGCUGGUGGAUUUA
rnacentral:miRNA from 1 species